UACAGAGGUGGCAAGCGUUGUUCGGAAUUACUGGGCGUAAAGGGCGCGUAGGCGGCCUUCUUAGUCGGACGUGAAAUCCCCAGGCUCAACUUGGGAACUGCGUCCGAUACUGGAUGGCUUGAGUGCGGGAGAGGGAUGUGGAAUUCCAGGUGUAGCGGUGAAAUGCGUAGAUAUCUGGAGGAACACCGGUGGCGAAGGCGGCACUCUGGGCCGGUACUGACGCUGAGGAGCGAAAGCGUGGGGAGCGAACAGG
rnacentral:rRNA from 1 species